rnacentral:rRNA from 1 species
GAUGAACGCUGGCGGCGUGCCUAAUACAUGCAAGUCGAACGAAACUUCUUUAUCACCGAGUGCUUGCACUCACCGAUAAAGAGUUGAGUGGCGAACGGGUGAGUAACACGUGGGCAACCUGCCCAAAAGAGGGGGAUAACACUUGGAAACAGGUGCUAAUACCGCAUAACCAUAGUUACCGCAUGGUAACUAUGUAAAAGGUGGCUAUACUACCGCUUUUGGAUGGGCCCGCGGCGCAUUAGCUAGUUGGUAGGGUAAGGGCUUACCAAGGCAAUGAUGCGUAGCCGAAUUGAGAGGUUGAUCGGCCACAUUGGGACUGAGACACGGCCCAAACUCCUACGGGAGGCAGCAGUAGGGAAUCUUCCACAAUGGGCGAAAGCCUGAUGGAGCAACGCCGCGUGGGUGAAGAAGGUCUUCGGAUCGUAAAACCCUGUUGUUAGAGAAGAAAGUGCGUGAGAGUAACUGUUCACGUUUCGACGGUAUCUAACCAGAAAGCCACGGCUAACUACGUG